rnacentral:rRNA from 1 species
GAUGAACGCUGGCGGCGUGCCUAAUACAUGCAAGUCGAACGCAUAGCGAAAGGUGCUUGCACCUUUCAAGUGAGUGGCGAACGGGUGAGUAACACGUGGACAACCUGCCUCAAGGCUGGGGAUAACAUUUGGAAACAGAUGCUAAUACCGAAUAAAACUUAGUGUCGCAUGACACAAAGUUAAAAGGCGCUUCGGCGCCACCUAGAGAUGGAUCCGCGGUGCAUUAGUUAGUUGGUGGGGUAAAGGCCUACCAAGACAAUGAUGCAUAGCCGAGUUGAGAGACUGAUCGGCCACAUUGGGACUGAGACACGGCCCAAACUCCUACGGGAGGCUGCAGUAGGGAAUCUUCCACAAUGGGCGAAAACCUGAUGGAGCAACGCCGCGUGUGUGAUGAAGGCUUUCGGGUCGUAAAGCACUGUUGUAUGGGAAGAACAGCUAGAAUAGGAAAUGAUUUUAGUUUGACGGUACCAUACCAGAAAGGGACGGCUAAGUACGUG